UUGGCCGGCGGCGAUUUCGCGGGUUCUCGACGAGUCGCGGCUGCGAUCCGCUGCCGUGUGUCAGUCGGUGGCGGCGCGUCGCCGUGUUCGCAUUGUGUGUGUCUCUCGUUGUUCCUCGGUGUCGUCGCACCCCCGAGCCACCCCUAAUACCCUUCGAUUGCAUCUCCGCCGUCUUCGCUGUGACAUCAUUCUUCGCAUCAUCUGACGUCAUUGUUUCACCCUUUUAUCGAGAUUUACAGCCGACGACGCAAAAUGGGAACGUCGCUCGUGAUCCCCGUCGGGAAGGAUCCCUCGAGAUGCCGCCGCGAGGACGUCGCACAGGAUGGCGCACGGUGUCCUUGAAGGGAAGAUGCACUUUGCGAAGAUGCACGUGUGAUAUGGAACAGGCAGCGACAAAAUGUUGAUCAAGGAGUAUCGUAUACCGAUGCCUCUCACGGUAGAGGAGUAUCGAAUCGCUCAGCUGUACAUGAUAGCGAAAAAGUCUCGGGAGGAGAGCACAGGCGCCGGUAGCGGCGUGGAGAUAAUCGAGAACAAGCCGUACAGCGAUGGUCCAGGUGGUGACGGCCAGUACACGCUGAAGAUCUAUCACGUGGGUAGUCACCUGCCGGGCUGGUUCAAGAGCCUGCUGCCCAAGUCGGCGUUGAUCGCCAAGGAGGAGGCAUGGAACGCUUACCCCUACACCAAGACCCGUUACACGUGCCCGUUCGUGGAGAAGCUCUCCGUCGAGGUCGAGACGUACUACUUCCCGGACAACGGCCACCAGGAUAACGUCUUCCAGCUCAGCGGCAGUGAUUACAGGAAUAGGGUCGUGGAUGUCAUCGACAUCGUCAAGGACCAGCUUUACGGCUCCGACUACGUGAAGGAGGAGGACCCCAAGAUGUACGUGUCGGAGAAGACCGGGAGGGGCCCGCUGGAGGACACCUGGCUGGAGGAUUAUUGGGCCGAUGUGGAAGGACAACAACAGCCAUCGCCUUCGGGAAAGUCACUAAUGUGCGCGUACAAGCUAUGCCGAGUAGAGUUCCGUUAUUGGGGCAUGCAAGCGAAAUUAGAAAAGUUCAUACACGACGUAGCUCUGCGGAAGACGAUGUUGCGGGCGCACAUACAGGCCUGGGCUUGGCAGGACGAGUGGAAUGGUCUGACGAUGGAGGACAUCAGGGAGAUUGAGCGGCAGACGCAGCUGGCGCUGCAGCGGAAGAUGGGCCUGGCUGAUUCGGAGGACGAGCUCGGCGAGAGCCAGGAGGCGAAGGCGAUUGCCGCGACGUCGGCGACGGCAGCCGGUGCGGCGACGGCUGCGACAGGGGCGAGCGUCGCAAUGACGCCGCAGGAGUCGGACGUCGCCAAGACGUUGGCAGCCACCUUGGGCAGCAUCGAGAAGAACGAAGAGGCGCAGAGCCCGUUGUCCGUCAGGAAGCCAUCCGACAUCCCCAUCAUCAACACGGCGGCCAGCUCCGAGGGCGAGAUCAGCCCCGAGGACUCGCCGACCGACCAGGACGAGACCAGAGCCGCGGCCGUCGACGAGAAGGCGGAUGGCAAGAAGAAAUGGCGGAAGAGCAACGCGGCCAUGCACUCACCGAGUUCCAACAAAAGUUUCGACAUCCAGAUCGCGAACUGGAGAAUGGAGAGCAUCGUCCGGGAGUCCGAGUCCGGCAGCGACGACGAGUUCUUCGACUGUCAGGCUGGGUUCAUUAUACCUGUUAUACGCAAAGAGGACUUUGAAGAUAGCCCUUCAUUAGCUAAAUGGAGUUCUUUGGAUCUUCUAGCAGAAGGGGAAGACACGACUGUACGUACACCGCCUGCGGCGAAUGAGCAAGCAGACACGAUAUUUUCGCCUUCGUAUCUGCAGCGCGUCGCCAGCGAACGAAACAGCAAGAGACUGCAGAUCUGCUCGUCGACCAGUAUCGACGUAUCAUGUCCAGCAUCGCCUCAACACUCUCCAACGCAUCAGCCAUGCAAGAUCACCGUGCUAAUUAUCGUGGUGCACGCUGGCAGUGUUUUGGACGCGAACGUCGAUUUAACGGCGAAGAAAUCGGACAUCAUGACAUUCCGCGGAGCUUUCGAGUCCGUCAUGAGACAGCAUUAUCCCAGUAUGGUCGGGCAUGUCUCCAUUAAAUUCGUCGCCUGCCCUUCUGUCUGCACCGAGGGGCUUGGAAUCUUGUCAAGUCUGAGUCCGUACAGCUUCGACGUGUCGCCCUCCUGCAUGGACGCUCCUCCAGUCACGCACGACACCAUUCCGAUCGGCGCUAUACCGCUGCUGGCGAGCUCGAGCUCGGAUUAUCAAGAUGCGGUGUCGCGCGUUGUGAUUGGCGCUAAUCAAGUGUACCACGACUUCAUCAAAAGCGACGAGGGCAAAGGUUUCUCCGGGCAAAUUUGCUUCGUGGGCGACUCAGUUGGUUCGAUCUUGACCUAUGACGCAUUGUGCAGAGCGAUGCAGCAUUCGCGGCAAAGCAGCGAGAACAGUAUAUUGGAGACCAGCAAUCAGAAUAAUGAAAACGGUGGAAACGCUGAAGACGGCAAGCAUCUCUCCGCGCCCUCUCCCAGGAGAAGAUCUUCCGGCACGAGUGACAACAAGCUGGACUUCGAGGUGGGUGAUUUCUUCACGUUUGGCAGUCCGCUCGCUUUGGUCCUGGCUUACAGGAAGAUCGCCGCAUCCGGCGACAAAAACAGCUUUAUACCUCGGCCGUUGGUCAAUCAAGUGUACAAUUUAUUCCAUCCCACGGAUCCCGUAGCCGCGAGAUUGGAGCCUUUGAUCUCGGCGAGAUUCUCGCUAAUUCCACCGAUCAAUAUUGCCCGAUAUCAAAAGUAUCCGCUCGGCAAUGGCCAGCCUUAUCACUUGCUGGAGACCAUCCAGACUAACCCGCAGCUGUUCGCUGACGGACUAAAUGUUCCCAAUGUUCAACUGUCGCAUUUAAGAAGACUAUCUGAUAUUUCGCUUCAGAGUACAAUGUCGGGCAUUAUCGACAGUGUUCCUUUACAGGCGGUGUCCGCCCUGACGCAAAAGUGGUGGGGCACCAAGAGACUGGAUUACGCGCUUUAUUGUCCAGAGGGUCUCGCUAAUUUUCCUACAAACGCCUUGCCGCACCUCUUCCACGCUAGUUAUUGGGAAUCUUCGGACGUGAUCGCGUUUAUCCUGAGACAAUUGGGCAGAUUCGAUUUGCAAUUGCUCGGCAAUGAGGACAAAGAUCUCACUUGCUUCCGUCCAGGUCAACCCAGAGAGAAAUGGAAUAAAAAACGUACCUCCGUUAAACUUAAGAAUGUUGCUGCCAAUCACAGAGCGAAUGACGUCAUUGUGAAGGAAGGCGCACCACAAGUACUAAUCGCUAGGUUCAUGUACAGUCCUCUUGAUAUGAUAACUUUAACAGGUGAGAAAGUGGAUAUCCAUAUUAUGCGAGAUGCACCAGCAGGCGAGUGGAUGCACCUUUCCACCGAGGUGACCGACAAAAACGGUAGAAUAAUUUACAAGAUACCGGACGACAAAGCAUUAGGUUACGGGCUUUACCCGGUGAAGAUGGUUGUAAGGGGAGAUCAUACAUCUGUAGAUUUUUUCAUGGCGGUGAUACCCCCGAGAACCGAGUGCGUGGUUUUCAGUAUAGACGGUUCUUUCGCCGCCAGCAGGUCGGUGAGCGGCAAGGAUCCGAAAGUUUGGGCCGGUGCCGUUGAUGUUGUAAGGCAUUGGCAAGAACUGGGUUACCUCAUUAUCUACAUUACCGCGAGGCCCGACAUGCAACAGCAGACGGUGGUUUCCUGGCUGUCGCAACAUAACUUCCCUCACGGUCUCGUCUCAUUCGCCGACGGCCUGUCCAGAGAUCCGCUCGCUCAUAAAGCCGCGUACCUGAAUAAGCUCGUGAAGGAGCACGGCAUGAUAAUCCAUCAGGCGUACGGCAGCGAGAAAGACAUCAGUGUGUACACAGCGAUAAACUUGAAGCCGAGCCAGAUCUUCAUCAUCGGCAAGGUGUCGAAAAGGCACCAGGUCUUGGCGACAAUAUUAUAUGACGGCUAUGCCGCUCAUUUGAGCACGCUGCAGGCGCACGGCGGUUCGCGGCCCGCUCAGGGUAACGCGCGCAUGGUGAUCCCCAGGGGUCAAUUCGGCCUGCCCGGACAGAACGCUUCGCUGCGCCGACGAAGCGCACCGCCGUUGCGGCAAAUGGCUCUCGCUGUGCUUUUCUUACGGUCAGGCAAGAAAGGCUUGAGUAAGGACACCCUGUGUGGCGUUCGCGCGCGGGAAUAGCCACAGCUCGCCGUGGCAAGUGUGUGUGUCCUCUGUGUGUGUGAAAACGAGCACCGGCUAUGUUCCAGUAACGACACAGCGGUGAACUCCCCGGCGCGCAACAGCGUCUACUUAAAGCGGAAAAUCUACCUUACUCACAUCUAACACACGCCUAUAAUCUACGUACAAUUUACUUACUCACAUUGGUACCUGCUAUGAGGAUAUGUCGCGUUGUCUCAGCGUAGUUAAAUAUCACUCUGUCUCUAUCUUUUACUCGGCGAAAAAAGCUGUUGUCGCCACCCUACGCUCGAAACUUAUAGUUUGUCCAUCGGCUAGAGUACCUAAUGUCCAGGAUUUGUGGUUAAUCCGCUCUAUGACCGUCUAGAUACGCCGGGCGAUAGAGUCGUUUUCGUUAUCCUCCCCGAAACGAACCGGUCUCACUUUAGCGACGAAGGGCGGCGAAGCGGGCAAUCUCGCAGCCACCAUUAGACAAGACGCCCUUCCCGUUGGAACGAUCCACAAGCGUGGGCCCACCGGCUACGCAUUCGUCGGCAACACCUGCACACUCGGCGGCGUCUGAGAAACUCUGACGAUUCGCGCGUUGCCGCUCGUUCUUCGAAUCCCGGCGGUAACUCGCGAUGAAAGGACACGAUCACGACUCCUGGUUCCGUAUGCAAUAGUUCCCUCUUCGUUUCGUAGACCCUCGUUUCGUCGUCGACUCGUUAGACUCUUUCGUCGUGGAUCAUGAUUAUACAGUGGCGUUCAUAGUUUCAGAUUUGUGUGCGUGCCGACCGCGUAGAAAGUCCUUAGUCCAUGUCCCGUAGGUUUCUUGAUGCCGUAGACGUCGUUCCUACACACAUCUCAUGGACACUCUCAGUCUUGCGGAUCCUUGUUCUCGCGUGGAUCUCCUUGAUUCCCAUGUGGAUCUUGGCUGUCACGUGGAAUCCCGGUGCUCAGACUUACGGUGUCAUGGGUUUCUUCUUAUUCCUCCUUAGUUCAUCUUACCUUUAUUUGCUCUUUUGUAUUUUCACUUCACGGAGAGAGAAUCCUGAUGUUGGAUAUUUUAAAUAACAAAGUACUCCUCUGAGGACAAAUUUCACACGCGGAAAGGAACGAUUGAAAAGAGAGCCGUGUCGCGGUUAUUAAUACACAGCUAUAUACAGAGUGUUUCAUCAUUAUCGUCACACUCGUGAAUGGCAGAUUCCUAACGAAAAUCCUGACUCGAGAAUAUCGGGAUUGUAAUGGUUUUUAGAUGGGAAGAAUGAAGAAAGGUCGCUUAAGUAUACGCGAAACUGCGAGUUGAAACAAGGUGAGAUUUUCAUAUCUCAGCAAUGGCUGAACCGAUCGAGGUUUUUUUAAUCCCAAUCGAUUCGGCCUUCAAAAAUAGGAAGAAAAGUGUUCUCGUGCUUUUUGUGUACGUUGUCUAUAAGUGGAGAUAUUUUAAGAUAAAGUCUGAAUUACGGAAAAUUUCGAUUCAGUUCAGUAAGAAACGUCGGACGCGAAGGAGUGGGGCAAGACGUGCACAUUGCUUUCCCGACAUCAGGGGCGCUACGAGAGCGCUGAAGAGCAGACAGCAGUGAAUGCGAACAAGCGAGUAAGCGAGAGAGAGUGAGAGAGAGGUGCUUAUUGACUCGUUGUUUAGGAAGAUUGCUCUUCAAUUCUUUUUUAUAACGUAGUAUACAUACAUUAACCUAUUUCUUCCCAAUGUUGCGUAUACGUAACACGAAGUUUAUAUAAUUAAUUACUGACGUCAGUAAUUAUUUUUUUUCACGAAGUGUUAGACUAAUUGUGAAAUAAGUUCAUUUUGACUGCAUUUUGUGAAGUUAAACUUCGCAACAUUGGGAAGAAAUGGUGGGUUAAGUACGCAACAUCGGUGCAUCGUCAUCAGUGGGAUAUACAUUAGUGAUUGAUUAGGAUUUUUUUUAUUAAACAUCAGUGAUUGAUUAAGAAUAUAUACAUACAUUAAGUACGCAACAUCGGUGCAUCGUCAUCAUCAGUGGGAUACAUUAGUGAUUGAUUAGGAUAUUUUUUGAUUAAACAUCAGUGAUUGAUUAAGAA
rnacentral:misc_RNA from 1 species